CAAUAGCGUAUAUUAAAGUUGUUGCGGUUAAAAAGCUCGUAGUUGGAUUUCUGCUGAGAACGACCGGUCCGCCCUUUGGGUGUGUAUCUGGCUCUUUCUUGGCAUCUUCUUGGUGAACGUUGCUGCACUUGACUGUGUGGAGCGCUACCCAGGACUUUUACUUUGAGGAAAUUAGAGUGUUUCAAGCAGGCAUACGCCUUGAAUACAUUAGCAUGGAAUAAUAAGAUAGGACCUCGGUUCUAUUUUGUUGGUUUCUAGAGCUGAGGUAAUGAUUAAUAGGGAUAGUUGGGGGCAUUCGUAUUUAACUGUCAGAGGUGAAAUUCUUGGAUUUGUUAAAGACGGACUACUGCGAAGNCANNNGCCAAGGAUGUUUUCAUNGA
rnacentral:rRNA from 1 species